GACGAACGCUGGCGGCGUGCUUAACACAUGCAAGUCGAACGGAAAGGCCCUGCUUUUGUGGGGUGCUCGAGUGGCGAACGGGUGAGUAACACGUGAGUAACCUGCCCUUGACUUUGGGAUAACUUCAGGAAACUGGGGCUGAUACCGGAUAGGAGCUCCUGCUGCAUGGUGGGGGUUGGAAAGUUUCGGCGGUUGGGGAUGGACUCGCGGCUUAUCAGCUUGUUGGUGGGGUAGUGGCUUACCAAGGCUUUGACGGGUAGCCGGCCUGAGAGGGUGACCGGCCACAUUGGGACUGAGAUACGGCCCAGACUCCUACGGGAGGCAGCAGUGGGGAAUAUUGCACAAUGGGCGGAAGCCUGAUGCAGCAACGCCGCGUGCGGGAUGACGGCCUUCGGGUUGUAAACCGCUUUCGCCUGUGACGAGGCGUGAGUGACGGUAAUGGGUAAAGAAGCACCGGCUAACUACGUG
rnacentral:rRNA from 1 species